rnacentral:rRNA from 1 species
UUAAAAAGCUCGUAGUUGAACCUUGGACCUGGCUGAUCUGUCCUCCUAAUCGAGCGCACGGAUUCGGUCGGGUCUUUCCUUCUGGGGAGCCCUAUGCCCUUCACUGGGUGUAGUGGGGAACCAGGACUUUUACCUUGAAAAAAUUAGAGUGUUCAAAGCAGGCCUUUGCUCGAAUACAUUAGCAUGGAAUAAUAGAAUAGGACAUCGGUUCUAUUUUGUUGGUUUCUAGGACCGCUGUAAUGAUUAAUAGGGAUAGUCGGGGG